GAACCAAGAAUAACUCGAAUCUACUCCAUCUUCCACCUUCCUCCUUCCUCACCCCCACACAAUAUCCUCACCCCUUCGCUCAUUUUUUCUUUUUAUUAUUAAAACUAAAAUUAUACUAGUAUAUAAACCUAUGCUCAUUCCACUCUUUAUCUUUUCCUCCAAUACCUCCGCCACCACUCUCUCUCUCUCUCUCUCUCUCUCUUCAAUACUCACGCUAGAUUAUUUCCCUUUGAUGAGUGUUGAACGGCCAAGAUGGUGAACGACGACGAGUGGGUGCGUGCGGCGAUGGAGGAUGACACCGUUGUGGUGGAGCUUCUGCUACGCCUCAAGCAAGGUACCGUUUUACACAAAUCUCACCACCAGCAGCUUUUACCUUUCUCCUGGGGAGUCAAACAGCCGCGCUCAAGAUCAAGGCUAACCUCCGCCGCCGUCUCCCGAUGCGACGCCGCCGUUUCCACCAGAUGCAGCCCCACCACGCCCCUCUCUUGGAGCGCCGGCGCCGACAGUUACGAAGACUCCAGCCGCCACCACCACCAUCACGCCGCCGUAUCCAAGGCUACUGCUACAAGUGGAUACACUGGCAACUCUGCUUCUACCAAGAGGUGCAGAAGAAAAAAGACCUUUGCAGAAUUAAAGGAAGAGGAGAGCUCCCUGCUAAAGGAAAGCAUAUAUCUGAAAAAGGAAAUAGCGUCUGUAAAUGCAAACUUUGAGGCACAGAGAGCUAAAAAUGAGAGUCUGAAGAGAAUGAAGCUUGAUGUGGGAUCAAAAUAUCAGAACAAUCCAAGUUCAACAUCUGUUGAACCGCAGCGUCUGCCUGCUGGUCAACCCCAUCAGAGAAUAGUGGUAUCUACGGAGGCCCUCAUACGUCCCAUUCAAGAAGAUACUCAUUCACUUGCAUCAGAAUCUAGGCCAAACAGGAUAAAAUCAACCGGGGAAAGUUUUUUCUUGAUACCAGAUCUAAAUAUGGUGCCGUCCGAGGAUGUUUCUUGCACUGACGCUCUAUGUGGAAUGAGUUGAGACCUCUUUCUCUUACUAUGUGUGUUGGGGAUACAAAUCUGAACAAUGUACAGGCCCAGAGAGCUAUUUGAAGGCUCUAUCCAAUAGAAAACCAAUGAAUAUCGUGGUGCACUAGAAACGUUUCUUGAUCUGACUACUAAUUCUUAUGAAUGGAAAAGAAAUUGGUAGUCAUAUAUAUGGGAAAAUUUUCUUGGGUAGUUCUAGCCAUUAGGCUGUAGAGUAGAGAGAUAUGCUAAAAAGUUCGCAGGUUCCUCCGAUUCCGAAAUUCUUAAAAACCUUUCCGAUUUCGGAAUUCGUCAAUCAUGUCAGAUGUACCAAUUCUUUUGUAGGUUAAACGCUCUUGGAUUCCCUUAGAAGGAUCUUUCGGCACUGCCAUGAUCAUCAUGUGCUGGAUUCUCUUAUCUUAGUGGUGACUGGUGAAACACAAGAUCCUGGCACCAUGUAUGUACUAUUCUUUAUUCUAUUUGAUAAAUGACUCACCCUCCAUGUCAAAACAAUGGACAGUGCAAUGGGGAUAAAAGCAUACAUCCAACCAGAUGAACAUACAUAGCUCUAGUGGUCCCCUACUGUGUGUAGUGCCAGUACAGGGGACUGCUAACUAUGGCUAUUUACGAGGUUAGAUCUUUUACAUAUUCAAUUUUCAUCCUGCCUAAGCUCA